GCCGUUAGUCUUCCCUGUGAUUAAGAUCCCCUAAAUUCUCCAGUAACGCACCCUCCACUCCCCACCAUGAUGAUCGGUUCAUUAGCACCCCCCUAACCCCCUCCUCGCCAUUUUAUAACUCCGCCGUGACGACGCCACUAAUCUGCAGACGGCUCGCAGCCAUGGCCCAUGGCCACCAGCGGCAGCAGGCUGGAUAUGGAGGAUAUCAUCACCUCCGUUGCCACCAGCAGUUGGGGCGCUGGCUUAACCCACUACUCCCUGACGACUUUAUAUGUUCUUCUAUCCAAAUUUGUUUUGCAGGAUGGCGUUAACUUUGCACACGUGAAUCUAUCCCCUGACAUCUUCAUGAUUACACGUUUGCGCUCGCGACAGAUCAAAUCCCUGGCAGCCUAGACGAACUCCACCAGCGGUGAGCCUUCGCUAAUUGCGUUUUCAGGAUUCAGGUACUUUUUCGAUAAUCUGAAUUUCAUACAUGUCGCACUAUUGCUCUCCUCUUUUCCAAAAUAUUCUCAUACAAUCAAAGGUCAGGUGAGUCCCUGCUACAAUCAUCAUGAUGAUGAGCUUCAUUCUUAUUAGUAGUAUUAAAAACUGCAAGCUAUGUAUGACAUCAAUCUGCAGAAUCGAGGGUGGGUUUUAUCUGGAGCAUCAGUGCUAGACAUCAUUAGCUGAAUUAACAUGCAACUCCAAGACAAUAUGCAGGACCCAAUUAACCUGCAUAUAUAGCGGAGGUAUCCACAUAAGAUGUGCAAGUUGUGCGGUAGUGAGAUGGAAGUUGCAUCGGUCCAGCUGCCCCUGAUGACAAAAGAUAUGUUUCUUGAUCCAAUUCAUCUAUCGUAUAUGUAACGAGGAGUGCCCGAUGCGAAGUGCUAGCCUGGAUUGGAUCUGUCUACUUCAAUCGAUCUUUUUUACAUGGUUCAUUUGGAACUAAAAUAAAACUUUACGUAAAGGAGCAAGAGAAUUAUGAUCAUCAGUUGUAACGCUUCCUCUUUUUUUCCUACCACUACAUUCAGGAUAACCAAAGCUUGAAUUUGACAUAU